rnacentral:rRNA from 1 species
UACGUAGGGUGCAAGCGUUAAUCGGAAUUACUGGGCGUAAAGCGUGCGCAGGCGGUUGUGCAAGACAGAUGUGAAAGCCCCGGGCUCAACCUGGGAAUUGCAUUUGAGACUGAAUAGCUAGGGUGCGGAAGAGGGAAGCGGAAUUUCCGGUGUAGCGGUGAAAUGCGUAGAUAUCGGAAGGAACACCAGUGGCGAAAGCGGCUUCCUGGUCCAGCACCGACGUUCAGGCACGAAAGCGUGGGGAGCAAACAGG